GGCCUGCUAGCUCAGCCGGUUAGAGCGUUGCGCUAAGAACGCGAAGGUCGUAGGUUCGAUCCGUGCGCAGGCCA